CCUCUCAAAUCUCUGAAGCCAGUCCUGCAUUUGUAAUUUGCAAGUCACGACUGUGAUUGAAUCACCUUCACUUCAUUGCAUAAGUAAAAUCCCAACAACACCAAAGUAAUUUGACACUGUCCACGAUAUAGCAGCCUGCUUGACUGGCAUCCCAUUCAUCAUCAUCAACCUUCACUCGAUCCACCACUAAUGCGUAAUAUGCCAUCUACCAGAUACAGCAAUUUUGUCUCGGCAAGGACAGUGCGGUGGUCACUCUUACCAAAGCUGUCAAGGGCAGAUGCAUCUUCAGUCGGUAGUUUGAUAUGAAUGUGGUCAGGUAUGUUCUUCCCUCUAGUUGGUUCCUUCACCACCUGCGGCAGACUCAGUCUAGCGGCUAUGUCCUUUAGGACCUGGCCAGCUUGAUCUUACUACUGUCAAGCCAGUCUUGGUGGUGAGCAUUGAAGUCCUCCAUCCAGACUACGUUUUGUGGCAAUGCCACCAUCUGUGCUUCAACAUGGAGGAGUACCGACUCAUCAGCAGAGGAAGGACGAUAAGAGGUAAUCAGUUGUCCGUGUUUAAUUUGAUGCCAUGACGCUUCAUGGAACCUUUUGUAGGAUGUGGCUAAAUUGUCAGCAUUCGUUGCCCAGUUGCACUAGAAUUGGGUCAGCAUUGCAGAGGGCAGUGAAGAAUCAACCACAUAGCUAUGCGCCUGAAUCCAAUGUAGGCCACCCGGUCGAGGUGACAGAUUCAAUCCCAUAAAGUAUAUCAUUUGAUGUUUCAUAAUUUCAUGGUCACCAUUACUAAAACUGCAUUCAAAUUCCAGGUUUAUCAACUGAAUUCAAAUUCUACCAAAUGCCCUGAAACGGAGUCAUCAAAGCUUCACCCUGGUCCAAUGACACUGCUUCACGCCACCGCCUCAAUGGAACGACAGUGACGUGUACAGAAGGGGCGUGACUUAUCAGCGAGGGAGGGACUUGUUCAAGAAUUGGUUUAUUACCUUGACAUUUCAUUUUUCUCGAAAUCAUUUAGAAGGAGAUGGUUUAACCCACAAUAAGUUUGGAUUUUUUUUCUCGUUCUUUACCUCAUUACAAAGAACGUUCACGGUUCAAAAUGUAUCUGUUAUUGAGCUUCACGAUUGUAUUUCAACACGUGAAUUCCGCGACGGUCCUCCAGACUCCCUCAAUUGUCUCCAAAUCUAUUACCGAGAGAGUGGUGUUGAAAUGCACGGUGGAGGGAAAGAGUACAGGUACCAUGUACUGGUACAGACAAAAUCCGGGGAAGGAGCUACAGCUGAUGUUUUAUUCUACAUAUGCACCCAGCGUGAAUAAAGGGGAGGCGGCGGGUAAUUUCACAGCCGAGCGAUCGACUGGCUCCGACUUUAACCUGGAGUCUUCCAGCCUAAAGGCAAAUGACUCGGCAUGGUAUUACUGCGCCUGGAGUGCACAGUGACUCAGAGAGAAAGAACAGCUCAACAAAAACGUCAAAGGCAGUAUGAGCAGCGGAGAAUGACACUGCUCAUUGCAUCCUCAUGUCCGUAUUUACUUCUUGCAUGGAGUCCCAUUUAGUCAAAUUGUAUGUGGCAAAUGAGAUACAUAAACACUGCCAAAGUUGAGCGAAAGUAUUUGUUAAUG